GCUCUGUUGUUACCAUUAACGGUACAAGUAAUUAGUAGUCAAUAUGGUGAGUUAAGGGUACCGAUCAUACCAGAUAGGGAGAGUGGCCGAAUAAUGACUUUGGAAAAUAUGCCCUUCAGAGAUGAGAUGUUUCUGAUAAGCUUGCUCUUUCUUGCCAAUUUAUUGGGUUAUAUUAGUGUGAUUAAGGGAUCGGUUCCGGGCUUGGGAUUUUAUUUAAUCGUCCGUAUGGUCGAGUUGCUGAUAUCUUGGUGUUGGGCGUUAUCAGUUUGGCGUCUACAUUCGUAGUAAUUCAGCUGUUGGCACUAGUGUUAAAAAACAAGACAGAUUGAGCGAUCAUCGUUCAUAACAAAAAACAUUUUAUGCAAAGAA
rnacentral:lncRNA from 1 species